CAGGCAUCGUGCAGUGAAGCGGCCGCUCAGAGCAACAGAAUUAUUCCAGACACCAAAUGCAGAUGCUGCUUGAAAGCAUCAGAGGAUUUGGAUGCCCGCACCACAGGGACAGCAGGACGGAGGAAGCAGGAUGAUGUCAUCGCAUGGCAGUGCUGGAGUUUUCCUGCUCGCUCAAAGGACUUUUUUUUCCUCCGGUUGUGGUAACUGCCUUCGCCCCCGUUUAGCCGAAGCUCGGUACUUAAAUGAUGACCUGAAGAAAUUCCACGGCGGACAGAAGGAACAACAAUCACAACGGAAUCUCAAUUAAAAGCACAGAAAAGGCGCGUUUCAUAAGUAGGAUAAACGUUUGGUUCCAGACUUGGUUGUCCCCCGAGCCAACGCUUCCCCUCUAAUCCCAUUAUGCGUGGAGCUGGAACAGGAAGACAUACCAGGAGCACUUUCCUGCUGGCAUCUUGAUUUCACUGCCACUCUUGCAAGCUUCUGACAUAUGGAAGUCCUCGCACGGGAAAGCACAGAGCCUGCCCGCAGUAUCGCAUCACGGGAAGAAACAACGACAACGGCACUGAACGACGGUGGACAACCUCGGCAGAUCUAUCAGCAGAAAAGCGAACCAGACACACAGAACAGAAAGGAGGAAAUUGAGAGGAAAUCAGGAGUGAUUGAGACUAUUAAAAAGUCCCAAGAUGAAAGGAGAGUAGUGCAUGACUACUUAAUAAUAAGCUACUGGAAAAGGUCUGCCAACAGCAACGGGAUGAUGAAAAUAAAGUGCUUAAAGGAGAGAUCAACUGGGUCAGCGUCAGCGGCGGAGGAAGGAAGGGCGAGAAUCAACGGCGGGUGAAAGUCAGAAAAAUAGACACAGGAAGAGACACACAUGGAGAAACAAACACACCCGGAGGGGAACGAGAGGGAGCAGAGAACCGGAGGAGUGAACGAGCAGACUCCAGUGUCCCUGGGCGAGGCCUGCAGGAAAUGAUGUUCGGUUUCGGAGAGAUGAGGAUGAGAAAAGCAGCUGUGGGGGGGGUGUCUGCCGCCUCCUCUGGGGGCCAACGCCGCCGAUGCCACCAACACCACGCGGUUGAUGAGCAAAAAGCGCCGUCGGUGAACGGCCGCUGAGGAAACGCUGAUUAGACUGCGGCUCCGGCUCUCUGCGUGUCACUAGUAACGUCUGAUCUGAGCGAUGCAAAAAACAACAGCAACGUGCCAUGAAAGAAUAAAACAUGCAGAGUUACAAAUAACUGAGAUAACAGUGGAAAAAUACAGAUACGCACGCAUUGAUGGCCGGGAUAAUUGUAGUAAUAGACUCACUUAAUCCCAGUUUAAGAGUUUUCAUUUAUCGCGUAACAAAGUAAACAAACACACAGUAGAACGGAGUAAAAACAGGUCUGAGUCGUGCCUGAGAUCAAAAUGUCCAAAGGACGAUUAAGUACACCGUUUAUAGCACGAAGCAGCAACAAAACCACAAAAAGUCCAGACGAAGAGUGGGAAGAACGGAGGGGACGGCCGGGGUCCUUUUCGGCUGAAUAUGAUCCCACGCAGAUGGUGCUGGGACAGAGGCGGGGG
ensembl:lncRNA